UCCUCUGACCAACAAGCUUUUUGCUCGUCUUAUACGUGAGCAUCAGGUAUAACCCGGGCCAAAAGCUCGCCCGUCACAGGA
rnacentral:pre_miRNA from 1 species